GUGGGGAAUAUUGGACAAUGGGCGCAAGCCUGAUCCAGCCAUGCCGCGUGAGUGAUGACGGCCCUAGGGUCGUAAAGCUCUUUCACCGGUGAAGAUAAUGACGGUAACCGGAGAAGAAGCCCCGGCUAACUUCGUGCUAGCAGCCGCGGUAAUACGAAGGGGGCUAGCGUUGUUCGGAAUUACUGGGCGUAACGCGCACGUAGGCGGCUCUUUAAGUCAGGGGUGAAAUCCCGGAGCUCAACUCCGGAACUGGCUUUGAUACUUGGUACCUUGGUUAUUGAAGAGGUAAGUGGAAUUCCGAGUGUAGAGAUGAAAUUCGUAGAUAUUCGGAGGAACACCAGUGGCGAAGGCGGCUUACUGGUCCAUUACUGACGCUGAGGUGCGAAAGCGUGGGGAGCAAACAGCAUUAGAUACCCCUGUAGUCC
rnacentral:rRNA from 1 species